rnacentral:rRNA from 1 species
GAUGAACGCUGGCGGCGUGCUUAACACAUGCAAGUCGAACGGAAAGGCCCCUGCUUGCCGGGGUACUCGAGUGGCGAACGGGUGAGUAACACGUGGGUGAUCUGCCCCGCACUUCGGGAUAAGCCUGGGAAACUGGGUCUAAUACCGGAUAGGACGUUGGUAUGGAUGUCAUUCUGGAAAGUUUUUCGGUGUGGGAUGAGCUCGCGGCCUAUCAGCUUCUUGGUGGGGUAAUGGCCUACCAAGGCGUCGACGGGUAGCCGGCCUGAGAGGGUGUACGGCCACAUUGGGACUGAGAGACGGCCCAGACUCCUACGGGAGGCAGCAGUGGGGAAUAUUGCACAAUGGGCGCAAGCCUGAUGCAGCGACGCCGCGUGGGGGAUGACGGCCUUCGGGUUGUAAACUCCUUUCGCUAGGGACGAAGCGCAAGUGACGGUACCUGGAGAAGAAGCACCGGCUAACUACGUG